UACGUAGGGUGCAAGCGUUAAUCGGAAUUACUGGGCGUAAAGCGUGCGCAGGCGGUUUUGUAAGUCUGUCGUGAAAUCCCCCGGGCUCAACCUGGGAAUUGCGAUGGAGACUGCAAGGCUAGAAUCUGGCAGAGGGGGGGUAGAAUUCCACGUGUAGCAGUGAAAUGCGUAGAGAUGUGGAGGAACACCGGUGGUGUAAACGGCUUUCUGGACCAUAACUGACGCUGAGGCACGAAAAGCGUGGGUAGCAAACAGG
rnacentral:rRNA from 1 species